CCUACGGGGGGCAGCAGUGAGGAAUAUUGGUCAAUGGACGAGAGUCUGAACCAGCCAAGUAGCGUGAAGGAUGACUGCCCUAUGGGUUGUAAACUUCUUUUAUAUGGGAAUAAAAUGUUCCACGUGUGGGAUUUUGUAUGUACCAUAUGAAUAAGGAUCGGCUAACUCCGUGCCAGCAGCCGCGGUAAUACGGAGGAUCCGAGCGUUAUCCGGAUUUAUUGGGUUUAAAGGGAGCGUAGGUGGAUUGUUAAGUCAGUUGUGAAAGUUUGCGGCUCAACCGUAAAAUUGCAGUUGAAACUGGCAGUCUUGAGUACAGUAGAGGUGGGCGGAAUGCGUGGUGUAGCGGUGGAAUGCUUAGAUAUCACGAAGAACUCCGAUUGCGAAGGCAGCUCACUGGACUGCAACUGACACUGAGGCUCGAAAGUGUGGGUAUCAAACAGGAUUAGAUACCCUGGUAGUC
rnacentral:rRNA from 1 species